rnacentral:rRNA from 1 species
GACGUAGGGGGCCAGCGUUGUUCGGAAUUACUGGGCGUAAAGGGUUCGUAGGCGGUGUAGCAAGUCGGGGGUGAAAUCUCUGGGCUUAACCCAGAGGCUGCUUCCGAAACUGCUGUGCUUGAGUGUGGGAGAGGCGCGUGGAAUUGCAGGUGUAGCGGUGAAAUGCGUAGAUAUCUGCAGGAACACCCGUGGCGAAAGCGGCGCGCUGGACCACUACUGACGCUGAGGAACGAAAGCUAGGGGAGCAAACAGG